UUAUCGUUUUCCAAAGCUCAGUCUGUUAUUUUACUAAUGUGCUUUUUAAGAGGAUCAUUGAAAGAAGAUUGUUUCGUAAUAAGAUUAAUCGAAAGUGUCGCAGCCACCAGCGGCAGCCAAGCUGGCGGAAAGGUAGCGUGCUUCGUCCUACUCGUCAUUUACUUCCUUAUAAAUUAUUUCAUAUCGUGAUUUACAUUAAUGUUACGCAUGUUCGCGAAUUAAGGAAAUUACCCUUGCACGUGACUGUCAUAUACGAUCCAGCGUAAUAACGUAUAAUUAAGAAACGUAUCCGUGUAACGUGGCUGUACCAACAAUAAAGUUGCAAUUAAAAGAGUGGACAAUUUCGUUCAGCUCGUAACGCAAGAUUGAGAGGAAAGACGAGUCAGACCAGUUGAACGUAUUCGAGUCGUUGGACGUAAUUGAACGUAUCGCGUGUAGCAAUGUACGAGAGGAACGACAAGAGUGACAGAUUUUUAAGAAAACAAUAUAAUCGUACAACUUGAAAAGAAUUUAUGUAUCUGGUAUGUUCGAAGGAAUAAGUGCAACGCUGUAAAAAUUGAUAGAAAAUUAAACUACAAAUUUUGCCGAGAUAUUUCGAAGAUUUUCUGAAACGUUGAAUCUAGAAAGCUGUUAGAAGAUUUGGAAAAGUGAAACCAAAUAUUCCACGGAAUCUCCUGUGAAAGGCAAUUUUAGAAAGCAGCGACUCUUAGAAAGGAUAGCAAAUUAAACUGAAAGACGUUCGAAGCUCUAAAAGAUUGCAAAAGAAUCGUAACCGCGAUUCUCUUCUCGUAAAAAUCUUUCGUAAGAAGAGGAAAAUGUCACGAAUAGCUACGAUCGAGUCGAAAAGGCUACAACAACGAUCCAAGUAUCAAGGCCAAGGAUUGAUAUACUCGGAUCGGCGAACAACUGUUCAUCAAAGUCAGGGAAUUAAGUGACGCGUUAUAUCAUAUCCCUUGUUAUCUCAACGAUGAUAUCCUUUCAAGCAACCACGAUAUCGAAGCGUUCUUUAUCUCUAAGUAGUUUAAAUAUCCUCUAGUCAACUGCGGUACGAAAUGCCAGAUUAAGAAUACUUAAGUCUGUAACGCGGUAUGCCACGAGGACCUUGAAUUCUCCACUUUAAUUGUCCAUCGCAAUUAUCUUGGACUUAGUUAGAUCCAACAGCUUGGAACUCUAAGAUAUUAUAAAUCUGUUGAGAAUUGUGGAUCUUAAUUACCGAAAUAAAAGUAAAGGAAUACCAAAA